AGCUACAGGAAAGACUGUGCCGCAUCCAAGAUUGGUGAUGCCAGCAGCACAGCCAGGGCCGCAGUCAGGACUGGCAAGGGGUUUCUCAUGAGGACGCAGGGAAGCUUUUGAAAGCAGUCAUCCAGAGGCAAAGAUGAGUUUGGCAACCAGGCAGUGGGGAUAGGAAGUGAGUCAGGCAAUGGGAUUCAGGAUUGCUAUCAAAUGCUUUCCCUGUUGCUUGCGUCUAUUUCUAUUUUACCACCUUCAAAUGUGGCAGCUUUCAUUCCAGGGACAUCAGAAAGCACCACUUGCCUCAGACACCUCUCCUUCACAAAGCACCUCGACAACAAAGAUCUUUUGGUUUUUUCCCUCUGGAAUCACUAAGCUUGUAGGAAACAGCCCUGGAGACGCUGGAGGCCACCAGCUGCAGAAGCGUAGCCUCGGAACAAGGCCAGCCCAGAGGAAAGCGGCACGGAGAGAUGAAGAGGAAGGCGGAGGAGGAGAGACGGGGAAAGAGACGAGGUUGUCCUGGCAUCACUCGUGCACCUGAAGCCAGCCACACUCACACACUUUUCAAUAAAAUGGGCCGGUAGAUCCUCUUUAUUUAUUUAUUAUA